UGGCCAGCCUUCUGAAAGGAAGAUUAAUCCAGGAUGGGAUCAUGAGUUCACAUGUCCGCAUGAUUAAAGGUAUUUUCCGGUAGACGAUGGGGAUGCGUUCCAUUAGAUAGUAGGCGGGGUAACGGCCCACCUAGUCAACGAUGGAUAGGGGUUCUGAGAGGAAGGUCCCCCACAUUGGAACUGAGACACGGUCCAAACUCCUACGGGAGGCAGCAGUGAGGAAUACUGGUCAAUGGGCGAUGGCCUGAACCAGCCAAGUAGCGUGAAGGAUGACUGCCCUAUGGGUUGUAAACUUCUUUUAUAAAGGAAUAAAGUCGGGUAUGCAUACCCGUUUGCAUGUACUUUAUGAAUAAGGAUCGGCUAACUCCGUGCCAGCAGCCGCGGUAAUACGGAGGAUCCGAGCGUUAUCCGGAUUUAUUGGGUUUAAAGGGAGCGUAGAUGGAUGCUUAAGUCAGUUGUGAAAGUUUGCGGCUCAACCGUAAAAUUGCAGUUGAUACUGGAUGUCUUGAGUGCAGUUGAGGCAGGCAGAAUUCGUGGUGUAGCGGUGAAAUGCUUAGAUAUCACGAAGAACUCCGAUUGCGAAGGCAGCCUGCUAAGCUGCAACUGACAUUGAGGCUCGAAAGUGUGGGUAUCAAACAGGAUUAGAUACCCUGGUAGUCCACACGGUAAACGAUGAAUACUCGCUGUUUGCGAUAUACGGCAAGCGGCCAAG
rnacentral:rRNA from 1 species